rnacentral:rRNA from 1 species
UACGGGGGGGGGCAAGCGUUUGUUCGGAAUUACUGGGCGUAAAGCGCGCGUAGGUGGUUUGUUAAGUUGAAUGUGAAAUCCCCGGGCUCAACCUGGGAACUGCAUGCAAAACUGGCAAGCUAGAGUAUGGUAGAGGGUGGUGGAAUUUCCUGUGUAGCGGUGAAAUGCGUAGAUAUAGGAAGGAACACCAGUGGCGAAGGCGACCACCUGGACUGAUACUGACACUGAGGUGCGAAAGCGUGGGGAGCAAACAGG